rnacentral:rRNA from 1 species
AUUGAACGCUGGCGGCAUGCCUUACACAUGCAAGUCGAACGGCAGCACGGGAGCAAUCCUGGUGGCGAGUGGCGAACGGGUGAGUAAUAUAUCGGAACGUGCCCAGUCGUGGGGAUAACGUAGCGAAAGCUACGCUAAUACCGCAUACGAUCUAUGGAUGAAAGCGGGGGAUCGCAAGACCUCGCGCGAUUGGAGCGGCCGAUAUCAGAUUAGGUAGUUGGUGAGGUAAAGGCUCACCAAGCCGACGAUCUGUAGCUGGUCUGAGAGGACGACCAGCCACACUGGGACUGAGACACGGCCCAGACUCCUACGGGAGGCAGCAGUGGGGAAUUUUGGACAAUGGGCGCAAGCCUGAUCCAGCAAUGCCGCGUGCAGGAU